rnacentral:rRNA from 1 species
AGGAUGAACGCUGGCGGCGUGCCUAACACAUGCAAGUCGAGCGAUUCUCUUCGGAGAAGAGCGGCGGACGGGUGAGUAACGCGUGGGUAACCUGCCCUGUACACACGGAUAACAUACCGAAAGGUAUGCUAAUACGAGAUAACAUACUUUUAUCGCAUGGUAGAAGUAUCAAAGCUCCGGCGGUACAGGAUGGACCCGCGUCUGAUUAGCUAGUUGGUAAGGUAACGGCUUACCAAGGCGACGAUCAGUAGCCGACCUGAGAGGGUGAUCGGCCACAUUGGAACUGAGACACGGUCCAAACUCCUACGGGAGGCAGCAGUGGGGAAUAUUGCACAAUGGGCGAAAGCCUGAUGCAGCAACGCCGCGUGAGCGAUGAAGGCCUUCGGGUCGUAAAGCUCUGUCCUCAAGGAAGAUAAUGACGGUACUUGAGGAGGAAGCUCCGGCUAACUACGUGCCAGCAGCCGCGGUAAUACGUAGGGGGCUAGCGUUAUCCGGAAUUACUGGGCGUAAAGGGUGCGUAGGUGGUUUCUUAAGUCAGAGGUGAAAGGCUACGGCUCAACCGUAGUAAGCCUUUGAAACUGGGAAACUUGAGUGCAGGAGAGGAGAGUGGAAUUCCUAGUGUAGCGGUGAAAUGCGUAGAUAUUAGGAGGAACACCAGUUGCGAAGGCGGCUCUCUGGACUGUAACUGACACUGAGGCACGAAAGCGUGGGGAGCAAACAGGAUUAGAUACCCUGGUAGUCCACGCCGUAAACGAUGAGUACUAGCUGUCGGAGGUUACCCCCUUCGGUGGCGCAGCUAACGCAUUAAGUACUCCGCCUGGGAAGUACGCUCGCAAGAGUGAAACUCAAAGGAAUUUGACGG